CCUACGGGAUGCAGCAGUGAGGAAUAUUGGUCAAUGGGCGCGAGCCUGAACCAGCCAAGUCGCGUGAGGGAAGACGGUCCUAUGGAUUGUCAACCUCUUUUGUCGGGGAGCAAAAGACGCCACGCGUGGCGUUCCGCGAGUACCCGAAGAAAAAGCAUCGGCUAACUCCGUGCCAGCAGCCGCGGUAAUACGGCGGAUUCGAGCGUUAUCCGGAUUUCUUGGGUUUAAAGGGUGCGCAGGCGGAGGAUCAAGUCAGCGGUAAAAUUGAGGGGCUCAACCUCUUCGAGCCGUUGAAACUGGUGGUCUUGAGUGAGCGAGAAGUAUGCGGAAUGUGUGGUGUAGCGGUGAAAUGCAUAGAGAUCACGCAGAACUCCGAUUGCGAAGGCAGCAUACCGGCGCUCAACUGACGCUCAUGCACGAAAGUGUGGGUAUCGAACAGGAUUAGAUACCCCAGUAGUC
rnacentral:rRNA from 1 species